rnacentral:miRNA from 1 species
UAAAAACUGCAAUUACUUUC